CCUACGGGAGGCAGCAGUGGGGAAUAUUGCACAAUGGGGGAAACCCUGAUGCAGCGACGCCGCGUGGAGGAAGAAGGUCUUCGGAUUGUAAACUCCUGUUGUUGAGGAAGAUAAUGACGGUACUCAAACAAGGAAGUGACGGCUAACUACGUGC
rnacentral:rRNA from 1 species